UACGGGGGGGGCAAACGUUGUUCGGAAUUACUGGGCGUAAAGGGCUCGUAGGCGGCCAACUAAGUCGGACGUGAAAUCCCCAGGCUCAACCUGGGAACUGCGUCCGAUACUGGAUGGCUUGAAUUCGGGAGAGGGAUGCAGAAUUCCAGGUGUAGCGGUGAAAUGCGUAGAUAUCUGGAGGAAUACCGGUGGCGAAGGCGGCAUCCUGGACCGACAUUGACGCUGAGGAGCGAAAGCUAGGGGAGCAAAUGGG
rnacentral:rRNA from 1 species